CCGUUCGUAGCUCAGUUGGUAGAGCAACCGGCUCUUAACCGGUAGGUCGAAGGUUCGAACCCUUCCGAGCGGA
rnacentral:tRNA from 1 species